rnacentral:lncRNA from 1 species
GCAACCAUAGAUCGAUCGUUGUCAGCCUCCGUAAGGCUUCUGGUCCUUGCAGGCGAUGUUGUCCCCGUAGCGCACUCGGAGCAUAUCGGAGUACCUCUUGUAGUAGCCGACCCGGUCCUUGGCGGCGUCGGUGGACUGGCCCUUGCCGCACUCCAUCCCGCCGUUGAUGAUGUUGGUGGUCACGCCAUACCCGGGGAGCCUCCCCGCGGCGCGGUCGUCGGCGGAGGGCGUCCAGCUGCCGGUCAUGACGGCGUGGCACGACGGCUUCGGCGACUGCGGCGUCAUCCAGAACCAGAUGGCCGUCUUGAAGGCCACCACGGGGUCGCUCGACACCAGGUCCGGGUUGCCCACCAGGUUCAGGUUCAGCGCUUGCCCAGCUUGCCUGUAGUUGUACUCACUGCGAACCCGCAGGAUCAACAACAGGUUGCUUGUUAAUUAGUAACAUACACAUGCAUGCUGAUGCCGAAACUACAUAAAUCAUGAAAUGUCUGUGGCUGAUCUCAUCUUAGCUUACUGAGUUAGCUGUAUGGGUCCUCGUCCAUAGUAGGGUGGGUCCGUGGGGUUCUGUUCCUUCACCCGGCAGUAUCCCCAGGCAAACUGUCCACCCGGAGCAGUUGGCCAUCCACCUGCAUGCAUGUCAAUUUGGCAUGCAUAUAUAGCGAGCCGAGGCUUAAUUAGACGGCCGAAGAAGAGUCUACAACCAGCGAAAAAAACGCUGUCCACAACACAAGGCAUACGGCCGGCAUACCGGUAGUUUCGUGGGACGUCUGUCCGAAGAAGGCGGCGAGCUCCCGCCUUCGGGUCUGGUCGUCGCCGGUGGUGCCGAAGCCGGGGAACUUGCUGGCGGCCUCGAUGAACGCGUCGUAGGUGUAGAACGCGCCCUGGCAACCGCUGUCGCCGCGGUGGCUCAGCAUGCUCUGGAACAUGGGCCGCGUGAUGAUGCUCCACACGCCCUGCUUCGCGCUGGCGCCGCCGGCCGCCGCGAGCAGCGCGGCGCCUGCCAAGACCAGCACCGUCGCCAAAACCCUCGCCAUGGCUGGCUUACGCUCUCUAACUCGCAGUCGCAGGUCUGCGAAGCGGUGGAGUGUCACUGUCACUUGAGCGUGGCUUUUAUAAAAGCCGGAUGAUCGCGAGCUACGGUGAAGUCCGGUCAGGUCACGUCUGAGAUCUGAAUGCGUUCUGCCAGCUGCGUUGUGUUGACUCGUUGGCGACACGCUGCCAAGUCGUCGGCUAGAUAAUGGUAAGCCUGCGCAUGCAUGUGAAGCGGCCGGCUUGUCUCCUUCAAUCCAUUGGCAGUUCCCAUUCGCUUGCCAUAGGAUACCAUACCAUGCAUGGCUCCACACGAAUUUGAAGUUUUCGUUCGCCUAUAUUUGUGGAAAACAAAAACCAUUUUAUAGAUCAGCAUGACUUUCCCCCUCCGCUUUUCUCUUGCUGCUCGUUGUUUUUUUAGCCGUGGUAAUCCGAGGAUCACUUGUGAGUUUUUAUACUUCAUUCAAACUCUACUUUCCUUUAAUGAAAAUAUGUACCUCACACACACACACACACACUUGAGUACAGCUUAUUAUUAGAUCGUAAAUCACAUGGGGACAGAAAGUUUAUAAAUACAUCGGAUGAUUUCCAACAUAGUUGUAAGUUUUUUAAAGAAAAUGCAUAGUUGUACUUGAGCUAGAUUUUUUUUUUUCUGAAGAAUCCUUGAGCUAGAUUGAAUGAAAUAGUUGUACCCAAAGCAUUUUCAUGAGGCAAAUAGCAAGCGCUACCACUCGGUCUGGUCUUGCCGUCUUAUCCUGCGUUCCAGCAUGCAGAAAAGUCGUUGCUUAGGUGCUAGCCGGCAGUUGAGAAGGAAAAGCUAGCUGCAUUUGUAGACGGUGCCAAACCGAGAAGACUUGGGUCGUCUUCUUGAGACUGUGUGUAUGUGACCUGUUGAGUUGCGAGAGAGAUGGAGAGUUCAUUUUUUUUUCAGAAAACACAUGAAAAAUUCUUAUAUAUUUUUUUUUCAGAAGAAGACCCCAAGUCACACAGCCAAGUCUCGUCGCCGUAGCACGAACGCAAACUAAACGAAACAAUGUCGUAUAUAAGAUUCCAUGUGUUCUUUUACAAUCCUUACAUGAUUAAGCUCUAGCUAGUUCUAAUUUAUGGCAUGGAAGAGCACAUAAAAAGCUAAGAAACUCUGAGCAAAAGCUAGACAAGGUGCUACGCGAGAGGGUAUUGGCCGUGGCGAGGCUUAAGGCCUUUAGUUCCCACUCUAAAACUUUAUAUCCUAUUCCAUCGAAUAUUUUGACAUAUGUAUUAAACAUUAAAUAUAGAUAAAAAAUAACUAAUUUGAUAGAUUAUAAGUACUUUUAAUUUUGAGAUGAAUUUUUUAAGUCUAAUUAGUCUAUAAGUAGAUACUAAUUGAUAUAAUAACACAUGUACUACUGAUAGAUUAAUUAGACUUAAUAAAUUUAUCUCACGGUUUAUUAACAUAUUCUGUAAUUUAUUUUUUAUUAGUUUCUACCUCAUACAACACGACUCAAGAUUCGUCUCGCAAACUACAUACAAACUAUAUAAUUAGUUAUUUUUAUCUAUAUUUAAUAUGAUAUGCAUAUAUAUUUAUGGAUUGGGUAAAAAAAUUUGGGUGGGAACCUACUAACACUUGAUGCUGCCUGCACUGUGUGCUGCCCUGGGAGCGGGGUACUUCUGAUUCUCGCAGGAAAAGUUGCCAUCAUCUGUCACUCCAAGCAAUGUCCUCCUAGGUAGUAGCCGACCCGGUCGUUGGCGUCGCCGUCUGUUUGCUGGCCCAGCUGGCCGCACUCUUUCCCGCCGUUGACGAUGUUGGUGAGCAUGCCGUACCCAG